UUUCUUUCUCCCUCCCUCUCUCUCUUUUUCUUUGUCUCUCCCUCCCUUCUCUCUCUCUUUCUCUUUCUCUCUCUCUCUCUCCUAGACAGGAUCUACCUUUAUCCCCCAGGCUGGAGUGCAGUGGUACAAUCAUGCAUUCAUUGCAUGAUCACAGCAGCCUCAAACCCUUCCUCAGAGUCUUUAUGCGGCAACCAGCAGGGUCUGGAGGGUUGGUGGCUCUGUGAACUCUCCUGACAGAACACAGAGAUGUCUUUGGUCUGUUGAUGUGAUUACAAGCUGAACGAAGGAGGAUCAAAGCCAGUGACAGGAAGGGAGAUAUGCAAGGGACCCGAGCAUCAGCUCUGAGUUAGUCCAUUCUGCUUCUGGGACUUGGGAUACAGGUCAGAAACCUUGAGCUUCUACUUCUCCAUCUUCCAAUUGUAGCAUCCAGGACCUCAGAAUCUGCCAGCUAAGAGGAGCCCUAAUGAUUGUCUGGUGGGAUAUGGUGGGACCACAGAGAUGAAGACAUGAAUAGCUAUUUGAAUGUGAACAGCAGACGAAGAAAUCAAGGCUAGGAGGGUGGAAGUGACUCAUCCAAUAGCACAGUGUGGUUGAAGCAGCACUAGUAUCCAGGUUGCAUGAGCCCCUGAUGCUUUCGCUCGAGGGAAAUUUUGGAGCCAUGGGGCAAUGCCCCCUGACGUAACAGUCUCCACAGUUCUGCCAUGUCUCAUCCUGGCCCUGUAACCUGGACCCAAAUCUGCUACCAUCCCAUCCAUCUCAGGAAGUGAAACCUCUUAUGUCAAAUAGGUUGUGCAACGUAUGUAUCAGAUCCUGUCUUCCCAAGGAGACCGCUCAGGCCACAGCACUUCCUUCCGAUCCCCAAUGAGCAGAAAAUAUCUCGCUAUAAACAUAGUUGGCACUAAGGGAGGGAGUGGAAGAGUGAUGAUGAUGUAGAUGGUGAUGUAGCCCCAAGGAAGUGGAACAAGCAGAGAUGGGGAGCUGGAAAUGCCAGGAUGCUCCAGCUUUUGGGGAAUUAUUCAGCUCUUGAGUCACUAAAGCCUUUCUCAGCUGCAAGUUCCUCUUUACCCUGUCAGGUCAUUCUUCCAAGACAGGAGACUGACAUUUAUUCAAAGCAGCAAGUGCCCUGAUACCAUCUUGUGUCUAAUCAUGGGCUUCGCAGCCAGUUAUCAAGGUUGAUCUCAUCUCAUUGGUCUUCAAUCAUUUUGAACAAGAAGACAAGCAAAAUAAUCAUGGGUUAGUUCUUAUAUUAUUGUGUGUACAUGCAGUGAUGUCUGUUCUUUGUAGUGAGCUGUUCCUUCCUUGUUCACCCUCUUGCUUAGAACAGAACUAAGCAAUCUGCCCCCAACAUUUUCCCCAAUUUCCCAUCUCAUUCUUGGCACUGGCUUCCUAAUAUUUGUUCUUAUGAGUCAUUUUCUUGUAUCAUUUCCAUGAGUCCCUCUGGGAUCUUAAAGUAUGAAAAAUGUUGUGUGUACCCACACCUGUCUUUGUGGAUAUUUCUCUCCUUUCCCUUCUGCUUCUGGGAUUAUUUGGGAAUGGGCACUAUGAUUUUUAUCAUAUCGCUUCCACUUCCUUUAUGGCAUCAUCUCCAAUGGGCUUCUUCUCCCUCUUGGAUCCAGGUUCUCAGAUUGGGGACAUGCAGAGUCCAAGGGACAUUCCAUUCUCCUCCCUGGUCUAGAACAAGGAGGGCUUAGAUAUAUGAGCAGGUGGCUGGGGCUGGCGAGCUAUGUAGUCUCCAAUGGCUUUUCCCUGAUGUCGGAGUUGUUAUGUCAGUUCUGGGAGACCAAUAAGACCUUGUCCUUCCUUUGGAUCCAUCAGAAAAAGCCCCUGGGUGGGUAAGAUGGAUGGCAGGGCUCUCCUACUCUAUGUCUUUUCUCACACCUAGUGGGUAUAAGAGAGGGGACCACAAACAGAGGGGGCUCUGGUACCACUUAUCCAGGGUCUGGAAACAUUUUCUGUAAAGGGCCAGAUAAUAAAUGUUUCAGGUACAACUACUCAACCUUGCAUCAUUUCAGAAAAGCAGUCAGAUAAUACAUAAAUGAAUGGGUGUGGCUGGACUUGUCCUGCGGUCCCCUGUCUUAUAUCAUUGUAUUAUAUCAUUUUUUCUUACAUACAAAUUUAGAAGCAAUACUUAAAAAAAAAAAGCCGUCCUUUAUUGAGCACCUACUAAGUGCCAGGUACCUUUUUUUCCCUCAUUAUCUUAUUAACUCUUCAUAAUAACCUUUAAAGUAGAUAAUAUUGAACCAUUUGACCUAUGCAGAAACUGAGGUUGAGACAAUAAAUUAUUUAAGACCGCACAAACAGUAAAUGCUGGAACUACGACUCAAAUAUGGGUUAACUGAACCAAAACCAGAUCUUUAUUUCUCACUUUUAAUUGUUACAUAUGUUUAUUGCCUCAUCUCCUGUCCACAUGGUGCCCAUCGGCAGACUCCUUUCUCAUUCUCAGUGAUUGAGUGACAUUCUAAACUACAUUGGCCUGGCAGAUUCACCUCUGUCCCCUAAAUGUUUCCACAUUGUCCUUUUAGGAUUGAGAUCCUCUCUGUUCCCUUGUCUUCCCUCCUUUCUUCUUCUGGCGGUGACGUGCUGUGUGAAUUUGUUUCUUUCUCCUCUCAGG
rnacentral:lncRNA from 1 species